rnacentral:rRNA from 1 species
UACAGAGGUCUCAAGCGUUGUUCGGAUUCAUUGGGCGUAAAGGGUGCGUAGGCGGCGCGGUAAGUCGGGUGUGAAAUCUCGGAGCUUAACUCCGAAACUGCAUUCGAUACUGCCGUGCUUGAGGACUGGAGAGGAGACUGGAAUUUACGGUGUAGCGGUGAAAUGCGUAGAUAUCGUAAGGAAGACCAGUGGCGAAGGCGGGUCUCUGGGCCGAUACUGACGCUGGAGGAGCGAAAGCGUGGGGAGCAAACAGG